rnacentral:lncRNA from 1 species
UGUGCUUCUGCCAAACUGGGUGGUGAAGCUUGAGUAGGGUGAGCCUGCACGAGCUGCUGAACUCUUCCACAAGGAGAAAGCAGAUUUGUUUUAAGACCACUGAAAUGUAUAAGCUAUGAAGAGGAGAAGAAGCGAUAUCUCCACUGGACUUCUUACUUUCGACAUCUGGCUGUGGUCCACUGGGAGAAAUUUGCUCAUCUACUUCAGAUGCAAGUCACAAAACCAUUUCUGAUGUGUUUACAAACUAGUCUGGAAAAGCCUCAUCAAACCAAAAUAAAGAGGUGGAUGUUUUUUUGUUGGUUGGUUGUUUUUUCUUCUCCUUUUUCAAUAAAAGAAGAGGCAUUCUGAAUUCUUCCUCCAAGAUCAUCAGUCAUUUUCUGAACUGCUUGGUUAGAAGUAAAGGACGCUCAGAUGAAAAAUAAUGGUCAAUACUUUAUUUUGAAUGUUGUUCAGGAGGAAGCAAAUACCUUGGCAUACUGCGCAUUUAUUUUCAAGUGUACCUUGAUACUCGGUUCAAACAUAGAUUCUCAGUAUAAAUUCUGUGUUAAUUAAUCUCAAUUUUGUAAUGAAAAUAGUGCUUUUUAUAAAUAAUGCUUUUUAUUUCAUCUUUACCUACCCCCUACAUAUACAUUUAAAAACAGUCUUAGUAGGAAGUUUGUACUCUAGAUUUAUCUAGUGCCUGUGAUCUAUUCUUACCUCUUUAUGCAAAAAAACCCAGUCUUUCCACUUCCACAUCUGAUUUAAGAAUAUAUUUAAGUUUUGAAAAAUCAAGAGAAAAAGCAUAUGACAAUAUAUCAAUAAGCCAAUUCCUAGCACAAGACAUCCACAAUAUAAAAUACUUUACUUAAUCUUUCAAUAACACAUAUUCUACACAUACUACCUUUCAGCAAAUUUCAGUUUUCAGUAAGUUACAAUUUCCAUAAAAAGAACAGGUAGUUGAACUGGACUAACACAGUUUUGUUUGAUGAAGUCAAAGUCUGGAGUCAUAUAUCUGAGAACUAAUGUAUAUCUUUAAAUGAAAUCCAUUUCUUCAAGUUCACCAUGAUGUAUUCUUAGAUAAGAGCUAUGCUUAUAACUGAAGAAUGCCAUCAAUUCUUUGAUAUAAUUUUAAUCUUCUGUGAAUAAAUGAAUGAGGUAGUAAACUGCAGCAUAAGGAAAAUCUAUUUUAAACUGCAUUAUAUUAAAUCUGAUGGCACAUUGUGUGAGAAAUAUAAGCAGUAUUCAGUCACUGAGAAUUUCUUUCCAUCAUUGGAAUGAUUGCAACCCUUUUGGAAUUAACAACUACGACUGGGAGCCUUUACCUAGGAUGCAGAGUAACUUCUAAUAGCUGGAAAACAUUUCCUUCCAGCUGCAGGCUACAGAGAUAAUCAUCCUUUGAGAUCAAAUUAUGUGAAGGUCAAAUAACGACUAGAGUAAUUAUGCAGCUCAAGAAUUAUGUGGGUUGUUG